GUGUAGUUAAUAGCUGCAUUACUUUGACGUUAGCGACAGAAGAAGCACCGGCUAACUCCGUGCCAGCAGCCGCGGUAAUACGGAGGGUGCGAGCGUUAAUCGGAAUUACUGGGCGUAAAGCGCAUGCAGGUGGUUUGUUAAGUCAGAUGUGAAAGCCCGGGGCUCAACCUCGGAAUAGCAUUUGAAACUGGCAGACUAGAGUACUGUAGAGGGGGUAGAAUUUCAGGUGUAGCGGUGUAAAUGCGUAGAGAUCUGAAGGAAUACCGGUGGCGAAGGCGGCCCCCUGGACAGAUACUGACACUCAGAUGCGAAAGCGUGGGGAGCAAACAGGAUUAGAUACCCUGGUAG
rnacentral:rRNA from 1 species